ACAUUGAAAAGCAGAGGCUCUGAUCCAGCUUUGCUGCCUGGAAAGGGAAUGUCUGUGGUAGGAAACAACGCUCUGGGUCUCGUGCACAAGAAUUCCACUCCCAACUCUGCAAAGAUUAGACUUUAUAUUUAGUCUGCCAUUACCCUCUGACCUCAGUGAAAAGGAUGAAGAUGACCAGGUAUUCUCAUUCUUCAACCAAAGCAUGGCCACAGUUUUGAAUGGGCUGCUGCAUCCUCUGCCAGGGUGUGAUGCCACAUCUGGAUUCUACUUGCUGCCCUGGUGAUUGGCAGAGCCUCACUGUUUCUUCUGGAAUGAACAGCCAUUGCUGAUUCGAUCACAUCCAAGAACAAUCCAGGGAACAGAAUCCAUUUGAGAUAAAGAAGACACCUUUCAUAUCAGUAACUGGAAGACAGUCAAGGAAACCUCUCUGAGAUCCUGAAUGGAACCCCACAUACAGCUUCCUGUUCCACUGGAAUCAGAGGCAGUUGGGGGAAAGUCUCAAAUCAUCAC
ensembl:antisense Gm15133 predicted gene 15133